AGAGUUUGAUCCUGGCUCAGAUUGAACGCUGGCGGAAUGCUUUACACAUGCAAGUCGAACGGCAGCACGGGGCAACCUGGUGGCGAGUGGCGAACGGGUGAGUAAUACAUCGGAACGUGCCCAAUCGUGGGGGAUAACGUAGCGGAAGUUACGCUAAUACCGCAUACGAUCUACGGAUGAAAGCGGGGGAUCGCAAGACCUCGCGCGAGUGGAGCGGCCGAUGUCAGAUUAGGUAGUUGGUGGGGUAAAGGCUCACCAAGCCAACGAUCUGUAGCUGGUCUGAGAGGACGACCAGCCACACUGGAACUGAGACACGGUCCAGACUCCUACGGGAGGCAGCAGUGGGGAAUUUUGGACAAUGGGCGCAAGCCUGAUCCAGCCAUUCCGCGUGCAGGAUGAAGGCCUUCGGGUUGUAAACUGCUUUUGUACGGAACGAAACGGCGAGCUCUAAUACAGUUUGCUAAUGACGGUACCGUAAGAAUAAGCACCGGCUAACUACGUG
rnacentral:rRNA from 1 species